GGGUCGUUAGCUCAGUYGGUAGAGCAGUUGACUUUUAAUCAAUUGGUCGCAGGUUCGAAUCCUGCACGACCCACCA
rnacentral:tRNA from 1 species